AUGCUGUCAUGGAUGUUGGGCAAACAGGGUAACAGGAAGCUGUGGGACACGUUUUUAGCAAGCAGCACAGAAAAGGAGCAUUUAAAGAACCGGUGUGCAGCUCAGUCACCAUUUCCACAGCUGGGUUCGGCCGUGUGCUUCUGGGUCGCCGUGUGGUUCUGGGUCGCCGUGUGGUUCUGGGUCGGCCGUGUGGUUCUGGGUCGCCGUGUGGUUCUGGGUCGGCCGUGUGGUUCUGGGUCGCCGUGUGGUUCUGGGUCGGCCGUGUGGUUCUGGGUUCGGCCGUGUGCUUCUGGGUCGCCGUGUGCUUCUGGGUUCGGCCGUGUGCUUCUGGGUCGCCGUGUGGUUCUGGGUCCGCCGUGUGGUUCUGGGUCGCCGUGUGGUUCUGGGUCGGCCGUGUGGUUCUGGGUUCGGCCGUGUGCUUCUGCGUCGCCGUGUGGUUCUGGGUCCGCCGUCUGGUUCUGGGUCGCCGUGUGCUUCUGGGUCGCCGUGUGGUUCUGGGUUCGGCCGUGUGCUUCUGGGUCGCCGUGUGCUUCUGGGUCGCCGUGUGGUUCUGGGUUCGGCCGUGUGGUUCUGGGUCGCCGUGUGGUUCUGGGUCCGCCGUGUGGUUCUGGGUCGCCGUGUGCUUCUGGGUUCGGCCGUGUGCUUCUGGGUCGCCGUGUGGUUCUGGGUCCGCCGUGUGGUUCUGGGUCGCCGUGUGGUUCUGGGUCGCCGUGUGCUUCUGCGUCGCCGUGUGCUUCUGCGUCGCCGUGUGGUUCUGGGUCGCCGUGUGGUUCUGGGUCGCCGUGUGCUUCUGCGUCGCCGUGUGCUUCUGCGUCGCCGUGUGGUUCUGGGUCGCCGUGUGGUUCUGGGUCGCCGUGUGCUUCUGCGUCGCCGUGUGCUUCUGGGUCGCCGUCUGGUUCUGGGUUCGGCCGUGUGGUUCUGGGUCGCCGUGUGGUUCUGGGUCGCCGUGUGCUUCUGGGUCCGCCGUCUGGUUCUGGGUCGCUGUGUGCUUCUGGGUCGCCGUGUGGUUCUGGGUUCGGCCGUGUGCUUCUGGGUCGCCGUGUGGUUCUGGUGCUGGUGCUUUAA
rnacentral:lncRNA from 1 species